UACGAAGGGUGCAAACGUUGCUCGGAAUUAUUGGGCGUAAAGCGCACGUAGGCGGCUUUUCAAGUCCCAUGUGAAAUCCCACGGCUUAACCGUGGAAGUGCAUGGGAAACUGGAAAGCUUGAGUACUUAAGAGGAUCGCGGAAUUCCCGGUGUAGAGGUGAAAUUCGUAGAUAUCAGGAGGAACACCGAUGGCGAAGGCAGUGGUCUGGGCCGAUACUGACGCUGAGGAGCGAAAGCCGUGGGGGAGCAAACAGG
rnacentral:rRNA from 1 species